CGGGUCGCUUGAAAUGCAGGUGCGGCUGGACACAUCUUCUGAGCUAUAAGCAUUACUUAUUUAAUCCCGUCAGACGGAUUAUUUCUACUGCUACAGCUAUAUAAGGUCGAUUGUCCGUUUGCCCGACUGAUGCAGAAAAAACAGAGAGAAAUCUUUGUUCACUCGAUCUCAAAUCAAGUAAGACUACCCGCUGAACUUAA
rnacentral:misc_RNA from 1 species